GAUGAACGCUAGCGGCAGGCCUAACACAUGCAAGUCGAGGGAGAAGCCCUUUCGGGGUCAGCAACCGGCGCACGGGUGCGUAACGCGUAUGCAACCUACCUUUCACAGGGGGAUAGCCCGAAGAAAUUUGGAUUAAUACCCCAUAAUAUUAUUGGAUGGCAUCAUUUGAUAAUUAAAACUGCGGUGGUGAAAGAUGGGCAUGCGUCCUAUUAGCUAGUUGGAGUGGUAACGGCACCCCAAGGCUACGAUAGGUAGGGGUCCUGAGAGGGAGAUCCCCCACACAGGUACUGAGACAGGGACCAGAAUCCGACGGGAGGCAGCAGUGAGGAAGAUAGGUAAAUGGUGGGAAGACUGAACCAGCCAUGCCGCGUGCAGGAAGAAUGCCUUAUGGGUUGUAAACUGCUUUUAGAUGGGAAGAAUAAGGCGUACGUGUACGUUGAUGACGGUACCAUAUGAAUAAGCAUCGGCUAACUCCGUG
rnacentral:rRNA from 1 species